CCUACGGGAGGCAGCAGUGGGGAAUAUUGCGCAAUGGGGGCAACCCUGACGCAGCAACGCCGCGUGAUUGAAGACGGCCUUCGGGUGGUAAAGAUCUUUAAUCGGGGACGACUUUUGACGGUACCCGAAGAAUAAGCUCCGGCUAACUACGGGCCAGCAGCCGCGGUAAUACGUAGGGAGCAAGCGUUAUCCGGAUUUAUUGGGUUUAAAGGGUGCGCAGGCGGAAUGUCAAGUCAGUGGUAAAAUUUCGGGGCUCUACCCCGUCGUGCCGUUGAAACUGGCGUUCUUGAGUGAGCGAGAAGUAUGCGGAAUGCGUGGUGUAGCGGUGAAAUGCAUAGAUAUCACGCAGAACUCCGAUUGCGAAGGCAGCAUACCGGCGCUCAACUGACGCUCAUGCACGAAAGCGUGGGUAUCGAACAGGAUUAGAUACCCGGGUAGUC
rnacentral:rRNA from 1 species